rnacentral:rRNA from 1 species
CGGAGGAUCCAAGCGUUAUCCGGAUUUAUUGGGUUUAAAGGGUGCGUAGGCGGCCUAUUAAGUCAGGGGUGAAAGACGGUGGCUCAACCAUCGCAGUGCCUUUGAUACUGAUGGGCUUGAAUGCAGCUGAGGUAGGCGGAAUGUGACAAGUAGCGGUGAAAUGCAUAGAUAUGUCACAGAACACCGAUUGCGAAGGCAGCUUACUAAAGUGCAAUUGACGCUGAGGCACGAAAGCGUGGGGAUCAAACAGGAUUAGAUACCCUGGUAGUCCACGCCCUAAACGAUGAAUACUCGAUGUUAGCGAUAUACAGUUAGCGUCUAAGCGAAAGCGUUAAGUAUUCCACCUGGGGAGUACGCCCGCAAGGGUG